rnacentral:rRNA from 1 species
GCCUACGGGGGGCAGCAGUGGGGAAUAUUGCGCAAUGGGCGAAAGCCUGACGCAGCGACGCCGCGUGAGGGAUGAAGGUCUUCGGAUCGUAAACCUCUGUCAGCAGGGAAGAACGGUCACUGUGCUAAUCAGCAGUGAAUUGACGGUACCUGCAAAGGAAGCACCGGCUAACUCCGUGCCAGCAGCCGCGGUAAUACGGAGGGUGCGAGCGUUAAUAGGAAUUACUGGGCGUAAAGCGCUCGUAGGCGGUAUGUCAAGUCAAGGGUGAAAUCCCCGCGCUCAACGUGGGAACUGUCUUUGAAACU